rnacentral:lncRNA from 1 species
UAUUAACAUAUACAUGGUGAUUAGUUUUUUGUUGCAUCAUUCAUAUCACAAGAUACUUAAAUAUAAGUAUUAACUGAAGAAAAAUCCUUCAGUAUUUCAAGUUCUUAAUCACCAUGAACUGAAAAAAGUUAUUGAAAAGUGACUGGUAGUUGUUUUCAUGAAGUAUGCCAAGGGAGAUAACUCUAAUCACAUUGAGAGGAGGUCCAUUUUAAAGCAUUUAAAACUAGUUAAGAUUGUUUUUAAUUAUAUUUAUUUCGGUAUUUAAGAUAUGUAUUUAAAUGAGCUAAUUUAUG